rnacentral:piRNA from 1 species
GGAGUAUUGUUUCCACUGCCUGG